UUAAUUAUUAACACGGAGUGCAUUGUCUGACCCGAACAAAAACAAGGUUUUAUAUUAAUAAAAUAAAUUUUUCCCAAGAUAAGUUAUAACGAUUAGAUCACAAUCAUUCCACGAAACAAUACAAGUUUUAUUAUAACUAUUAAUAACAGUCGAAAUGAUUGAAAAUUGAUUACAAGAUUCCUCAAAACGAGGUUGACAAGUUAUAUUUUAUACAAUUCAAAUUCAACACAUCCGUUACAGUGACCUACUCAAUGAGUAAUUAUGAAGUAAACUCGAAACCUAUAAUAUAGCAGAAUAAAUUCUACGUAAUUUAUAAUAUAAAUAUGAAGAUAACUAUCACAUUUUUUUCAAACA